UCCUCCGUGGCGCAAUUGGCUAGCGCGUCUGACUGUUACAAAAACAGCUAAAUCAGGAGGUUGACAGUUCAAGCCUGUCCGGGGGAG